GAUGAACGCUGGCGGCGUGCCUAAUACAUGCAAGUCGAGCGAACAGACGAGGAGCUUGCUCCUCUGACGUUAGCGGCGGACGGGUGAGUAACACGUGGAUAACCUACCUAUAAGACUGGGAUAACUUCGGGAAACCGGAGCUAAUACCGGAUAAUAUAUUGAACCGCAUGGUUCAAUAGUGAAAGACGGUUUUGCUGUCACUUAUAGAUGGAUCCGCGCCGCAUUAGCUAGUUGGUAAGGUAACGGCUUACCAAGGCAACGAUGCGUAGCCGACCUGAGAGGGUGAUCGGCCACACUGGAACUGAGACACGGUCCAGACUACUACGGGAGGCAGCAGUAGGGAAUCUUCCGCAAUGGGCGAAAGCCUGACGGAGCAACGCCGCGUGAGUGAUGAAGGUCUUCGGAUCGUAAAACUCUGUUAUUAGGGAAGAACAAAUGUGUAAGUAACUAUGCACGUCUUGACGGUACCUAAUCAGAAAGCCACGGCUAACUACGU
rnacentral:rRNA from 1 species